CUCAUCCUGAUCAUUUUUAUCAUUCAUUUUUGGAUCGAAUCCAACAACAAUAAAAAAAAAAAAUUCGAUCCAAUUCUCUUUUCGAUUUGUCCAUUCCAAAUAUUUUUUUUUUCUCUCACCAGAUUUCCUCGUUUAUUUACUGUGUGUCAGUCUAUAAUAUUUCGAUUUUGUCUUCUAAAAUCAUAUCGAAUGUUUUGUAUGAUUUCGAAAAGUUUUUCAAACAAAAAUCUUACAAUCCUAUUACAUCAUCAUUCAUCUAUUGAAUUUUCAUUCUUGUUUGGUGUUCCAAUCGGAUUGAAUUAUCAUGAUGAAUGACAAUGUUCAUAAUGAUGUUGUUGAUGAUAAUGUUCAAUCAAUGACAACAACUCAUCAUCAUCGAUGACAACAACGACAACACUGACGACUGAUAUUCUUUCUGCCGCUUUAGAUGAAUGUGGUCUUGGUGAUUUUUUUGCAAAUCCGAUUGUUCAUGAUGAUCUAACAAAUUCAUUACCGAAUUCACCUGGUGAUCAUAAUACAAUCAUUGCCAAUAAUAAUACGGUGAUAGUCGAUAAUAAUAAUGUUGGCCAUUA